GGUUUUAGGCAAAACCUAUCUGUAAGGGUGUGACGAGCCUAGAUAGGUACUUAACCUCUAAUUCGAUAAGCCGUCAGUGUCCGAUAGGGUACUGAUUGUGAUGACGACUAGAAAGUCAGCGGGUGGAAGCAUCUGUGCGUGGGUUAGGUAGCCUCAUAUACAUGAACGACUGAUGUAGAGUUCGAUUGGGGAGAUAAGUAUCUAAUGCGUGUCAUUAGGUCACCUCGGUAUGACUAGGGUGAGAGCUAGGAACCGUAGAGGUGUUCUCAAGGGAAUCCUUUGCAGUGACGUCCUCGUAAGUGGACUAUAACAGUAGAACUCGUAUUAGUAGCCUAAUACUGCAGCCCUUUUUGGGGUUUGUUGUCCAUAUAGUUUAAGAUGGAAACAUAUUACAAGAUAUUUACUCUUGUUAGGUGAAAGUUGAUGGUCGCCGAGCCAGUCCGUACAUCCAAAAAGGACUCUAUGUAGUAGGAAGUCGAGAGCCUAUGAGAGUUAGAGUCGGUACGAAACAUCUAUUGUCUGCAGUGUAUGUGUUGGUAGGGCUAAAAACCCUUGCCUAUUU
rnacentral:ncRNA from 1 species